UACGGGGGGAGCAAGCGUUGUUCGGAUUUACUGGGCGUAAAGGGCGCGUAGGCGGCGUGACUAGUCACUUGUGAAAUCUCCGGGCGUUAACUCGGAACGGUCAAGUGAUACUGUCGUGCUAGAGUACAGAAGGGGCAACUGGAAUUCUCGGUGUAGCGGUGAAAUGCGUAGAUAUCGGGAGGAACACCGGUGGCGAAGGCGGUUCUCUGGGCCUUACCUGACGCUGAGGAGCGAAAGCGUGGGGAGCGAACAGG
rnacentral:rRNA from 1 species